rnacentral:rRNA from 1 species
GAUGAACGCUGGCGGCGUGCCUAAUACAUGCAAGUCGAGCGAACAGACGAUGAGCUUGCUCCUCUGACGUUAGCGGCGGACGGGUGAGUAACACGUGGAUAACCUACCUAUAAGACUGGGAUAACUUCGGGAAACCGGAGCUAAUACCGGAUAAUAUAUUGAACCGCAUGGUUGAAUAGUGAAAGACGGUUUUGCUGUCACUUAUCGAUGGAUCCGCGCUGCAUUAGCUAGUUGGUACGUUAACGGCUUACCAAGGCAACGAUGCGUAGCCGACCUGAGAGAGUGAUCGGCGACACGGGAACGGGGACACGGUCCAGGCUCCUACGGGAGGCAGCAGAAGGGAAUGUUCCGCAGUGGGCGAGAGCCUGACGGAGCAACGCCGAGUGAGUGAUGAAGGUCUUCGGAUCGUAAAGCUCUGUUAUGAGGUAAAAACAAAUGUGUAAGUAACUAUGGACGUCUUGACGGUACCUGAUAAGAAAGCCACGGCUAACUACGUG